GGAUAACUACGGAAAAGCUGUAGCUAAUACUUGCUUUAGCACUCUUGAUUAAGUUCUUGAGUGUGUACUUGUUAAGCCUUUUAAGAAAAAAGUUAUUAACUUAAGGAAUUAUAACAAAGAAGCAACACGUAAAUGGAUUUUCCAUUUUUUAGUGUGUAUCAAUCGAGUUUCUGACCUAUCAGCUUUUGAUGUUAGGGUAUUGGCCUAACAUGGCUAUGACGGGUAACGGGGAAUUAGAGUUCGAUUCCGGAGAGGGAGCCUGAGAAAUAGCUACCACAUCUAAGGAAGGCAGCAGGCGCGUAAAUUACCCAAUUCUAAAGAAGAGAGGUAGUGACAAGAAAUAACAAUACAAGGCCAAUCUGGCUUUGUAAUUGGAAUGAUGGGAAUUUAAAACCUUCCCAAAACUCAAUUGGAGGGCAAGUCUGGUGCCAGCAGCCGCGGUAAUUCCAGCUCCAAUAGCGUAUAUUAAAAUUGUUGCAGUUAAAACGCUCGUAGUUGAAUUUCAAAGAAUCGAUAUUUUAAGUAGCACUUUGUAGAUUAAUCCACAUAACUGAUACUACGUAUCGACUUUGUGCGCAUUUUUCUACUUAUGUGUUCUUUUAAUUAAAAUGAUUCUUUUUAAGAUCUUUCUUUUUUGCUUCGGCAUUUUAGGAGAUCUUGUUACUUUGAGUAAAUUAGAGUGUUCAAAGCAAACAGAUUAUAGCAUCUUUAUGCGUUUGAAUACUACAGCAUGGAAUAACAAAAUUGAACAAGUCAGAAUUUUGUUCUUUUUUCUUAUUUUGGCUUAGUUACGAUUAAUAGGAGUAGCUUGGGGGCAUUUGUAUUCAGAUGUCAGAGGUGAAAUUCUUAGAUUUUCUGGAGACAAACAACUGCGAAAGCAUUUGCCUAAAAUACUUCCAUUAAUCAAGAACGAAAGUUAAGGGAGUGAAGACGAUCAGAUACCGUCGUAAUCUUAACCAUAAACUAUGCCGACUAGGCUUUGGAUGAAAGAUUUUAAAAUAAGAGUUUUUUCUCUGAGGAGUUAAAACUCUUAGAUUGC
rnacentral:rRNA from 1 species